rnacentral:rRNA from 1 species
AGCGAACGCUGGCGGUAGGCCUAACACAUGCAAGUCGAACGGCAGCACAGUACGAGUUUGCUCUUACGGGGGGGGGGUGGGGUACGGGACAGGAAUACACCGUACCCUACUUUUUCGGGGGGGUUAACGAAGGGAAACUUACGCUAAUACCGCAUACCACCUAGGGGUGAAGGCAGGGGAUCUUCGGACCUUGCGCGAUUGAAUGAGCGGAUGUCGGAUUAGCUAGUGGGCGGGGUAAGGGCCCACCAAGGCGAGGAUCCGUAGCUGGUCUGAGUGGAUGAUCAGCCACACUGGAACGGGGACACGGUCCAGACUCCUACGGGAGGCAGCAGUGGGGAAUAUUGGACAAUGGGCGCAAGCCUGAUCCAGCCAUACCGCGUGGGUGAAGAAGGCCUUCGGGUUGUAAAGCCCUUUUGUUGGGAAAGAAAAGCAGCAGGUUAAUACCCCGCUGUUCUGACGGUACCCAAAGAAUAAGCACCGGCUAACUUCGUG